AUAAUAUAUUAUUGGAAUAUCAUCAUAUCACGUUCGCUUUUAUACGUAUGAUACGGAUAUGAUGUAUGUUUAAGUAAUGAUCUCAGGAUUUAGAAAUCGGCAACAUUGUACAAACACUGUGGCGCUAUCUGAGACGUACAUAUAUCUCUAUUCUGCCUUCAGUAUUAAUUUCAACUCGGUUGAAUUAAAACGAGCAAUUUCAUAGCGAAUUUUAUAAAAGUAUGUUUUAUUGAUACGUUACCGAAAUGAUUUCUAAAUAUGAGAGCAACAUCUUAGACUGUACAUAGUUUCUCGAGAUGCAUCUCGUAUAUGUAUUAUAUUUACGUAUAAUGUGUAUAUAUCCCUUUGUAAAUAAUAGAAAUGGAGAUUCGAAAUUACAAAUAAUAUAAAACAUUAUUCAGCGUAUCGGGUGGUUCUCGCCGUAAAUGUACACCAACGAAAUAUGCAAGCUUAUGUGCAUAUUGACAUGGAGCUGGUACCCUUAUAGUAUUAAACGAAUUAUAGUACAUAUGGGUGAGGUUGUACGUCAGUUGUUGAAUCAUUUCUAUAUUGCAACCAAGAUUAUCAUCAAUUAUAAUAUACGAUGUUGGCGUAACAGUGCCCUGCGUAGUGUGUUGAGAUACGAUAAAAAAACUUGGAUAUACUGGAUUAGUAACUAUGACGUCAUUCACAAUUGUGCCACAUGGCGGAUUUUUUCUCUUAUAAAAAAAUCGUGUAUUCACUCGUUUGUUAACGAUUAUAAAUGCCAUUUUUAUUGUCUUUUUAACCUCUUUUCCAAAUACUUUAGCAAUUCUCUUUCUUAUGUUACUUACCUCUUGACUAUUGACUAACUUCAAUUGACUCUCGCCAACACCAUCGCGAUAGAUCACAAUAUUUUUAGGAUAUCUACCUUCAUUGUAUUUUUUAUAUUCUAAUAUAAAGUUACAAAUAUGGUCAGCUAUGUUUUUUGAUAAUUCCUCACCCUUUUCAUGUUUACUUACAACACUGAUAUAUCUGGUUAAAUGUUUGUUUAAAGUACCUACUGUAGCACCUGCAAAAAUAUUGUUUUUUAUUUUUUUUAAUACAUGAAAUCACCGUUCAUAUAUUAUAAUAUAUUUCAAAUAUUUAUUGUAAAAUACUUACCAAUAUCAAAGUUUUUACAUCUUCUAUCAUGACAAACAUCAAAACCAAUCACCAUUAAUUCCGAAAAUACCGAUGGCAAAUCGACAUACCAUGGAAUUCCACCAAGUUUACAAUUCAUUUGAACAAUUAACUUUUGAGCUAUGGAUUCUUUCUUUGGCGAUUUUAAGUUUUCCAAAAAAAUCAUCUGUGAUGGAAUUAUACGGUCAAUGCAACAUUUUAUUUUUAAAUCACGAUAUCUUUGUGAAUUAUUCUUGUCAUCAGUAACGCAAACAACAAAUUGUAUGUUAUCUUUAUACACAUUCUCUAUUGUAUCCAUUAUUGCAUUAUAAUUCUCCAUCAUAACAAGAUUUGGUGUUUCCAUGUGAAAUUGAAUAUCGGCUGCUUUUUUAAGCAAAACAUGUUGGAAUAACUGUCAAAUCAAAAUUUAAUCAAUCAAUUGAUUAUUUUAAGUUGAUUAUUUAUUAAAGUCUAAAUCGAAGAUAAAAAUAUAAUACCAUCCAGUCAUUUUUAUGUUCCUUUAUACAGAUCACAAUCCAUUUGGUUAAUUUUUUAGAAUCAUACAUGGAAUUUCUAUAAAAUAGUGAUUGCCAAUAAUCAUAUCUGUUUUCUAUUCCAUCUUUUCCAGAGAAAAAAAGUUUUGCAUAAGGUAAUAAACGUCCAUCAACUUCAACCAAAUCUUUUUGGAAUUUUAAUUUAUAUGAAUCUAAUUGUUUAAUAUUCUUCGGUUUAGAGUGAAUUUUUUUAUUUAAAUCUAAUAACUGAUCAAUUCGUUGGGAAGGCCAUAUUUGUGAAAAUUUGGAUAUUGUUUUUAAUAUAUUACUAUUUUGCAUCAUUUCAUUUGUCUGACCUGUAUAUACAUAUACAUAAAUACACGCGCGCGCAUACGAUUAGUUCGCCUUAUAUAUUAGUUCAAUUAUAUAUUAUAUAAUAUAUAAGUUAGUACAUACAUCUUCAUGCACUGCCUCGAUAUCAAAUAUACUCACCUAAUUUAUAAGACAAUUCAGGAAUUAAAUAAAUAUCGGUAUUUUGAAUUGCUAGAUUACGUGAUUUUUGUUGCAUGUUUACAAUGAGCAAAGGCUGUCUUAGGUCUUGUAUAGUUAUAUUAUAUCUGUCCUUAUAGUAUUCUAUAAAUUUAAUUUCUUGAUUUACUCGAUUUAGUAGAAACGUACUCAUUGGUGAUAACUGAAAGUUAACAUUUACGAUCUUAUAUGUAUUGUAAUUGUAAUGAGUAAAUACAAUAUAUCCUUUGACUUCUUCAAGAAAUGUUUCCUAUAAAUGUACAUUUAAUUAUUACCAUUCAUUAAUAUUUUGAAGAUACUGAAAGUUAUUUGUUACAUUACCCUUUUGUUCUCAUCUUGUUCAUAUUUAUACCAAGUAUGUAAAAGUGACUUAGUAGACAAAAUUUUGUACGUUGGGUCUAUGCACGCAUAAGUAUCCAUUUCACGUUUCUUAAUAAAUGUGAUGAAACCUGGCCACAAUUCUACAUUAUAAUUCUUAAAUUCCACCUGUUUUAAAAUAUAUAUAACAUCCUAAAUAAGUAGAUAUAUACAUAUUUAAAUCUAUAGGAAUUUAUACAUAAAUACAUUUCUACAUAUUUAAAUACUAAUGUAUUAUAUUAGGUUGAGGAAACAAAAUUCAUUAUUUUAUUUUUUUUUUUUUUUAUUUGACCCAAAUCGAACAAUCUGAAACAUAUUAAAUAAAGUCUUGAAGUUCACGCAAAAAUAAUGGAUUUCUAAUAUUUUUAUUAUUUUUAUCGUAGUAUCUUUGUAUAUGUAGGCCCACGAAACUACGCUACGGAUCUGAUUAAUAGAACAGGAAAACUAAGUUCGCAGAACGAUUAAAUAAAUAAAAAUAUUUUGUAAGAUUAUCAAUUUUUUGUUCUGCUACGCAUGGAAUAGAAAGAGAAGUGCUAAAAAAUAUGGCAAAAAAAGAGAACAAAAUAAUAUCAGGACUAUUUAUAUUUUUGAAAGGACAAUUUGAGGACAGUUGACAAAUGCCAGUUAUCGACAGUAGAGAGAGUUAAGUUUAGUUAUUUUCGAAUGUUUCAAAUUAUAUCGUUAUCUAUCUUUCUUUUUCUUUUUUUACUUAUAAGUUUCUACUUUAAGCAUUGAAAUAUAACUUUAAAAAAUAAAAAAACCAUUAUUUUAGUCCCUAGUAAUUGUUAUACUUAGUUAAUCCCACAUAUAUAUGUAAUUAUAUAAGAAUGUAUUACGCUUUGACAAUGACAUAAUCAUGGUAAUUUAGCUGUUUACUCACUUUAUUGUUUUUAUCAUAUGAAUUUUGAAAAAUUGAUCGUAGAUUUAUCUCAUUUAAGCAUUCCUUUAAUAUUAAACUGAAACAAUACACUAGACAUUGUGUAUUACUUCCCUUUACAUCCAUGGUUUUUCGAUAAUCUAUAACUAUUAGAAUAUCAUUUUGAACAUUGUUUUCAUCAAAAUAUUUUGAAUUGAUAUUAUACAUCUGAAAGUUAAUAUUUUCUUAUUGCAGAUAAAUAUUAUACGUUUAUUUUAAUAUUUCAAUAUUAGUAAAUGUUAAUACUUACUUCAGGAAAACGUUUUGAUGAAAAUAAUGAAUAACCGUCAUAAAUACAUCCUUUUAGUGGUGGUUCAAUAUUUUGAAACAAAUAUUUACGCAUUCUCUUAAUAUAUUGAACUGGAGUAAAAUUAACACAAUGUUUUAUAAAAGUCCAAUCAUCAGAAUAUAGAAACUUGAAAUAAUUUGUCUGAAGUUUAAUAGUUGAACCUACAAAUUAAAAAUAUUUUUUUUCAUAGAUUAUAAUCGAGAUUUUAAAUAAUAAUUAAAUAGAUCGAAAUUUCUAAUACGAUCGAAUAUAGAGGGCAAAUGUUAUAUUAUACGAUAUAAAAGAAAAAGAAAGGAGAAAAAAAAGUGAGAAGAGAACAAAAAGAAAAUAAAAAACAUUAAAUAUUAUAAGACACAGAACGGAAAGAAAAAAAGCAAUCGUAUCAAAACAAACACAAACACGUUUCAGAAUCUAUUAUCCUUUAUUAUCCUCCAUGCUUUUUUUUUUAUCCGUUAUUUUAAACAAAACCUGAUUGUUCUUCAUCAAACUGUCUGCAUGUUAACUAAUCUAAUUAUUUUCAUUGAUAAUUCCUUAAUCUGAUUCAAAGUUAUCAUAUAAAAAAGUAUUAUAAAAAAAGAAGCGAAGUCUCCAUAUCUUGACUAAUUAUAAGAUACCUCAGAAUUAAGUAAUUUUUUUCAAUAUUCUUAUUUUUCCUUCACUUACAUAUAAAUAAAAUCAAAAACGUUAUAAUAAGAUAAAUGCAUGUGUGUUUAAAAGAAAAAGAGCGCUUCAUGGAUAUGAUCAUAAAAACUAUGUCUGUAAAUACCUAUAAAUGACUUACAAAACAAAUAGAAAAGGUCGACGGUAUGCCGAAUUAAGCAAAAACAAAAGUGCCGUGUCAACAAGAAAAAAACGUUUGAUGUCUUACAAGCCAUUUGGCAAAUUUUUUAAAUUAAUAUUUUCUUUAUUACGAAUCCUUUUUUCUGCUUUCCCAUUCCUAAUCUUAAACUAGCAAAAAUUAUAUCGAUAAAUAAUUAUAUAGAUAAAAAUAAUAAAUGAUGAAAGUGUAAAUUCAUAACAUAGAUGUUUCAUUUAUUUUAAUUAUAAAAAGCAAAACUUACCAGGUUCUGGAAAAUUUUGUUUAAUUCUUUUACUUUGGGUCGAAGAAGGAAAAUAAUCUUUAGAACUUCCCGCUAAUAAAAAUAAAUAUUUGUAUAUGAAUAUUUUUAAUAUACAUACACGCGUGCCUUUUAAUUAAGUAAUGUAUUACUUCGAACAUUGUAUCCACUACGUACCUACAGGAUAGUCAUCUUCAAAUAGUCGUCUUUUAUGACUUGAGCUCUACAACAUUAUUCCAAUUUAUUCCAAAUUAUUUAUAGCAUUGUCUUUAGUUAAUAAUAAUACAUAUUAUAUGAAUUCUUCAUUGUUAAUUUUUAAUAAUCCUUUCUUAAACCGAUGUGCUCAGUAUUAUAUAUAUAGAUAAAUAGAUAGAUAGAUAUCACUAAUAUACAUUGUUCCAUAGUAAAAUCAGAUAAAAAAAAAUAACAUAAGAUACACAAAACAAAAUUUAGUUAAGUGUAUGUCGAAUUAUGAUAUACUAUAUGGAAUUUAUAAAUACGUUCAUUGUUAGUCAUUGCUUUAGUCAUUGCUACUUUGACUAAAUUAUAUAAGAAUUUAGUUUACAAUAUUCAAAAGAAUAAAUAAAACUUGUAUCAUAAAUAAUGAACAUAUAGAUACAUUUUAUACCGUACUUGUUAUCACUAACUAAUUAUCACUAACUUAAGCACGCCAUGCAUCCACAUAUUACAUGCGUAAAUGUAUGUGUGUGAAAAUAAAACGAAUGUACGAAAAAACCAUAAAUAUAUAAUAUCUCACAAAAAUUACACAAAAUAUCUAUUUAAUUUAAUGUUUUAAUAUUUUCUAUUAUUUUUACUUACUUGAUCUUUUGACAUAUAUCUUUUAUGCUGACGCUGUUCUGACAUUGAUUGCGAAGGUCCAGGCGAAGAUAAUACUUCUGACUGCGACUUUUCACUCAGCGACGAUGAUGAUCCAAACUGAUCACUAGACAGGUAUUCAUCAGAACGGUAUCCUUUAGUAUCCUUGUAUGUUUUAGGAGACUGGUAUUUUCUAGGAGACUGGUAUUUUCCAGGAGACCGGGAUGUUCCAGGAGACCGGGAUGUUCCAGGAGACUGGAAUUUUCUAGGAGACCGGAAUGUUCCAGGAGACCGGGAUGUUCCAGGAGACUGGAAUUUUCUAGGAGACCGGGAUGUUCCAGGAGACCGGGAUGUUCCAGGAGACUGGAAUUUUCUAGGAGACCGGGAUGUUCCAGGAGACUGGAAUUUUCUAGGAGACCGGGAUGUUCCAGGAGACCGAGAUGUUCCAGGAGACUGGAAUUUUCUAGGAGACCGGGAUGUUCCAGGAGACUGGAAUUUUCCAGGAGACUGGGAUUUUUCAGGAGACCGGUAUUUUCUAGGAGACCGGGAUUUUCCAGGAGACCGGGAUUUUCCAGGAGACUGGUAUUUUCUAGGAGACUGGUAUUUUCUAGGAGACCGGGAUUUUCUAGGAGACCGGGGUUUUUUAGGAGACUUGAAUUUUUCAGGAGACUGGUAUUUUCUAGGAGACCGGGAUUUUCUAGGAGACCGGGGUUUUUUAGGAGACUUGAAUUUUUCAGGAGACUGGUAUUUUCUAGGAGACCGGGGUUUUUUAGGAGACUUGAAUUUUUCAGGAGACUGGUAUUUUCUAGGAGACCGGGAUUUUCCAGGAGACCGGUAUUUUCUAGGAGACCGGGAUUUUCCAGGAGACCGGUAUUUUCUAGGAGACCGGGAUUUUCUAGGAGACUGGUAUUUUCUAGGAGACCGGGAUUUUCUAGGAGACUGGUAUUUUCUAGGAGACUGGGAUUUUUCAGGAGACUGGUAUGAUCCAGUAGACUGGGAUGGUCCAGUAGAUUGAAAAGGCGGGUUUGAUUCUGGAGGAUGGUGUGAUUCAGGAUAUGAUACAAGUUUGCGGUAAUCCAGGCUGAUAUUGCGAUGGUCCAGGCUGAGAUGUUUCAUACUGUGGAGGUUGAUCUUGAUCUGGUCUAUCUAAACGAUGUACUCUUUUAGGUUGUACAUUAGGUGACCUUUGUUUACCACCUCUAUCUUGUUCCAUUUUAUAUACUAUCAAAUUCGUAUAUAAUGUUAAAAUUUCAGUCCUGAAAUAUUUAAAUUAUAGAUUAAAAGUAGAAUUUUAAAUAUUAUAAAUAUACAUUAAUGCCUUUAACAAUCUAAAUUUUUAUUUUAAUACAUAUACAUUAGA